rnacentral:rRNA from 1 species
AGAGUUUGAUCAUGGCUCAGAUUGAACGCUGGCGGCAGGCCUAACACAUGCAAGUCGAGCGGUAGCACAGAGAGCUUGCUCUCGGGUGACGAGCGGCGGACGGGUGAGUAAUGUCUGGGAAACUGCCUGAUGGAGGGGGAUAACUACUGGAAACGGUAGCUAAUACCGCAUAAUGUCGCAAGACCAAAGUGGGGGACCUUCGGGCCUCAUGCCAUCAGAUGUGCCCAGAUGGAUUAGCUAGUAGGUGGGGUAACGGCUCACCUAGGCGACGAUCCCUAGCUGGUCUGAGAGGAUGACCAGCCACACUGGAACUGAGACACGGUCCAGACUCCUACGGGAGGCAGCAGUGGGGAAUAUUGCACAAUGGGCGCAAGCCUGAUGCAGCCAUGCCGCGUGUGUGAAGAAGGCCUUCGGGUUGUAAAGCACUUUCAGCGGGGAGGAAGGCGUUAAGGUUAAUAACCUUGGCGAUUGACGUUACCCGCAGAAGAAGCACCGGCUAACUCCGUGCCAGCAGCCGCGGUAAUACGGAGGGUGCAAGCGUUAAUCGGAAUUACUGGGCGUAAAGCGCACGCAGGCGGUCUGUCAAGUCGGAUGUGAAAUCCCCGGGCUCAACCUGGGAACUGCAUUCGAAACUGGCAGGCUAGAGUCUUGUAGAGGGGGGUAGAAUUCCAGGUGUAGCGGUGAAAUGCGUAGAGAUCUGGAGGAAUACCGGUGGCGAAGGCGGCCCCCUGGACAAAGACUGACGCUCAGGUGCGAAAGCGUGGGGAGCAAACAGGAUUAGAUACCCUGGUAGUCCACGCCGUAAACGAUGUCGAUUUGGAGGUUGUGCCCUUGAGGCGUGGCUUCCGGAGCUAACGCGUUAAAUCGACCGCCUGGGGAGUACGGCCGCAAGGUUAAAACUCAAAUGAAUUGACGGGGGCCCGCACAAGCGGUGGAGCAUGUGGUUUAAUUCGAUGCAACGCGAAGAACCUUACCUGGUCUUGACAUCCACAGAACUUAGCAGAGAUGCUUUGGUGCCUUCGGGAACUGUGAGACAGGUGCUGCAUGGCUGUCGUCAGCUCGUGUUGUGAAAUGUUGGGUUAAGUCCCGCAACGAGCGCAACCCUUAUCCUUUGUUGCCAGCGGUCCGGCCGGGAACUCAAAGGAGACUGCCAGUGAUAAACUGGAGGAAGGUGGGGAUGACGUCAAGUCAUCAUGGCCCUUACGACCAGGGCUACACACGUGCUACAAUGGCAUAUACAAAGAGAAGCGACCUCGCGAGAGCAAGCGGACCUCAUAAAGUAUGUCGUAGUCCGGAUUGGAGUCUGCAACUCGACUCCAUGAAGUCGGAAUCGCUAGUAAUCGUAGAUCAGAAUGCUACGGUGAAUACGUUCCCGGGCCUUGUACACACCGCCCGUCACACCAUGGGAGUGGGUUGCAAAAGAAGUAGGUAGCUUAACCUUCGGGAGGGCGCUUACCACUUUGUGAUUCAUGACUGGGGUGAAGUCGUAACAAGGUAACCGUAGGGGAACCUGCGGUUGGAUCACCU